rnacentral:rRNA from 1 species
CACGUAGGGUGCGAGCGUUGUCCGGAAUUAUUGGGCGUAAAGAGCUCGUAGGCGGUGUGUCGCGUCGGCCGUGAAAACCUGCAGCUUAACUGUGGGCUUGCGGUCGAUACGAGCAUCACUGGAGUUCGGCAGGGGAGACUGGAAUUCCUGGUGUAGCGGUGAAAUGCGCAGAUAUCAGGAAGAACACCCGUGGCGAAAGCGGCUCUCUGGAACGGUACUGACGCUGAGACGCGAAAGCGUGGGGAGCGAACAGG